CAGCAUUUCUUUAUGUUCUCUGUGUGUAUUUCUUCCUAAUUUUUGCAGAGUCUUUCUAAGCUCUCCCCUUCGUGUCUUGCUACAUUAAUGGGACUCCCUAUUUAUAGGGAGUUCGAGGGUGCCAUUGGAGUCAAAAUUUCUUCCAGCGUGGAUUAUUCUCCCGCAAAUCCCCGGUGAAUUGAGGGGAAAAUCCAGGUGGCGGAUGAGGAAAGGAGGGCUCUUAGGCUUGCUCCAGCUUGGAAAGCUUGGAUUGGAGGGCAUGGUACUCAAGACGGUAGCACAGAGAUGGAGGGCUUUUGGGAACCUCCAAGUGGCAGCAUAGCAAUGGAGGGCAAUGGAAUAUUUAUUUGUAUUUUAUAUGUUUUAUUUUUUAUUUUAUUGUAUUUUUUCAUUUUCUGUAUGUUUGUACUCUAUAUCACAGCUGGGGCACGGGUCUCUCAUGUGACAUCAUUUCUGUAGGUUUUUACAAAAACCACUGUUGACCGAACUCCCUCCAAUAAAGUGCAUGUGGUUUUUCAA